rnacentral:snoRNA from 1 species
AACCCAUGAUGAGGGCACCUUCUCCGAAGAUCCUUAAUUCUCUCACGUGCAUCAUAUAAUGUCUUAAGCCCCAUUUGGGAAAAAGAAGAGAUUUCAUUCCUCAACUU